rnacentral:rRNA from 1 species
CAGUAGCCACGGUAAUACAGAGGAUGCAAGCGUUAUCCGGAAUGAUUGGGUGUAAAGCGUCCGUAGGUGGCUCUUCAAGUCCGCCAUCAAAUCCCUGGGCUCAACCCUGGACGGGCAGUGGAAACUACCAAGCUGGAGUACGGUAGGGGCAGAGGGAAUUUCCGGUGGAGAGGUGAAAUGCGUUGAGAUUGGAAAGAACACCAACGGUGAAAGCGCUCUGCUGGGCCGACGCUGACACUGAGAGACGAAAUCUAGGGGGGCAAAUGGGAUUAGAUACCCCGGUAGUCCCUGUCUCUUAUAA